AGUGAACGCUGGCGGUAGGCCUAACACAUGCAAGUCGAACGGCAGCACAGUAAGAGCUUGCUCUUACGGGUGGCGAGUGGCGGACGGGUGAGGAAUACAUCGGAAUCUACUUUUUCGUGGGGGAUAACGUAGGGAAACUUACGCUAAUACCGCAUACGACCUACGGGUGAAAGCAGGGGAUAUUCGGACCUUGCGCGAUUGAAUGAGCCGAUGUCGGAUUAGCUAGUUGGCGGGGUAAAGGCCCACCAAGGCGACGAUCCGUAGCUGGUCUGAGAGGAUGAUCAGCCACACUGGAACUGAGACACGGUCCAGACUCCUACGGUAGGCAGCAGUGGGGAAUAUUGGACAAUGGGCGCAAGCCUGAUCCAGCCAUACCGCGUGGGUGAAGAAGGCCUUCGGGUUGUAAAGCCCUUUUGUUGGGAAAGAAAAGCAGCAGGUUAAUACCCCGCUGUUCUGACGGUACCCAAAGAAUAAGCACCGGCUAACUUCGUG
rnacentral:rRNA from 1 species